rnacentral:lncRNA from 1 species
CUUUUCAUUUCCUGCUGGGGGUUGUGGAGAGCAAUAAGCAAGGUGGGUGGCGAGGGCCAGAAGGACUGGCCAGGUGGGGGAUGGGCUGGGGAAGCCUUCCCUCCAUGUACUCUUCUAUCAUCCCCUUUUCUGGCUCUCGAGCUCUGGUCCAUCAGUGUCUAUAUGGGAGGAAAGAGAAGGCAUUGGCAGGGGAUGACCUGGGAAUAAGGGGCUGGCUGGGCAGAAGACAGAAUUCUUGAGGUCCAAGGAGCCACUAAAGGGAAACUGUGACCUCCCUCUCAAUUGCUGUCCAUUUUAGGAAUUGGGGUGUUGAAGGAAACUUGUGUACAAUCCCAACAAAGUGUUAGGGAAGGAGGGCAGCGUGGCAUAGGAGUUCACUUGAGUUUUGGCAUCAGACAGUCUUUGUUCAAAUCCUGGCACAACCGUUUGUUCUCUAUGUGACUUUGUACGAGUUCUUGGCUUAUCUAAACCUCAGUUUUCUAAUAAACACAAUGAAGACAACAAUGGGACUUGUCUCUUAGAAUUGUUGUGAGGAAGCACAGGUAAAAUACUCAAUGUAGUGCCCA